rnacentral:rRNA from 1 species
AUUGAACGCUGGCGGCAUGCCCUACACAUGCAAGUCGAACGGCAGCACGGGAGCAAUCCUGGUGGCGAGUGGCGAACGGGUGAGUAAUAUAUCGGAACGUGCCCAGUAGUGGGGGAUAACUGCUCGAAAGAGCAGCUAAUACCGCAUACGACCUGAGGGUGAAAGGGGGGGAUCGCAAGACCUCUCGCUAUUGGAGCGGCCGAUAUCAGAUUAGCUAGUUGGUGGGGUAAAGGCCUACCAAGGCAACGAUCUCUAGUUGGUCUGAGAGUACGACAAGCCACACUGGGACUGGGACACGGCCCAGCCUCCUACGGGAGGCAGCAGUGGGGAAUUUUGGACAAUGGGCGCAAGCCUGAUCCAGCAAUGCCGCGUGCAGGAAGAAGGCCUUCGGGUUGUAAACUGCUUUUGUCAGGGAAGAAAUCCUCUAGGUUAAUACCCUUGGGGGGAUGACGGUACCUGAAGAAUAAGCACCGGCUAACUACGUGCCAGCCGCCGCCGUAACAC